GCGGCGCCUCAGGGCGGAGCGCGGCCUCCGGCAUCCCCGAAAAUCCCGGAUUUCCGCGCUUUUCCCUGGAAAAGUGGCUGUGACCCGGCCGGAAGCACCAGCUCGCCAGGAAAUGGCGCGAACAGGAGCAGCCCGGCACGGUGCAGAAAAAUAGAAAAUCUGCUGGCAAUGUAGUACAGAUGUAGGACUCCUGUCAGUUAUUGUCAGAGUUCAAACUUCAAAACAGGCAGGCACAGGCUCCUCGGGCUCCCCGUGAGGUUUUCCCCACUGCACAUCUCCAGUCACACUGCCAGGGUGGCACUUCCCCCUCCACUGCCCAUGGAGACAUCCCCAGGAUUACUCAACAGCUCUGGAAAUCACUUUAAUCUGAAGUCUGGCUUGUGAGGAAUUUGAAUUGUGAACAGUCACGAGAAGCAGUUUCGGGAUAGAAUUACUUUUGUUUCUUAC